GUGUCAAAGCUCUGCGAAACUGGAGGGAGAAACUUGAGAGACCGUGCCGGAAGAAUGCUGGACAGAGUUCACUCAAAUUCAUUAAUUUCAAAGUUCAACAUGAAUGGUGGUGGUCCACUGCAGAAGCAAGCAUUUGAAAAAACAUCAGUUCUCAGUUAUUAAAGAUGCUGUGUUGAACAACUUUCCAGCAGCAACAGAACUGGAAGUGAGGAUGCAAUGGGGGCAUUUCAAACAGUCACCAGGGAGCACGGGGGGGAGGGUAUAGAAA